CCUACGGGAGGCAGCAGUGAGGAAUAUUGGUCAAUGGACGAGAGUCUGAACCAGCCAAGUAGCGUGAAGGAUGACUGCCCUAUGGGUUGUAAACUUCUUUUAUAAAGGAAUAAAACGAGGCACGUGUGCCUUUUUGCAUGUACUUUAUGAAUAAGGAUCGGCUAACUCCGUUCCAGCCGCCGCGGUAAUACGGAGGAUCCGAGCGUUAUCCGGAUUUAUUGGGUUUAAAGGGAGCGUAGAUGGGUUGUUAAGUCAGUUGUGAAAGUUUGCGGCUCAACCGUAAAAUUGCAAUUGAUACUGGCAGUCUUGAGUACAGUUGAGGUAGGCGGAAUUCGUGGUGUAGCGGUGAAAUGCUUAGAUAUCACGAAGAACCCCGAUUGCGAAGGCAGCUUACUAAACUGUGACUGACAUUGAUGCUCGAAAGUGUGGGUAUCAAACAAGAUUAGAUACCCCUGUAGUC
rnacentral:rRNA from 1 species